GAUGAACGCUGGCGGCGUGCUUAACACAUGCAAGUCGAACGGAAAGGCCCAAGCUUGCUUGGGUACUCGAGUGGCGAACGGGUGAGUAACACGUGGUGAUCUGCCCUGCACUUCGGGAUAAGCCUGGGAAACUGGGUCUAAUACCGGAUAGGACGAUGGUUUGGAUGCCAUUGUGGAAAGUUUUUUCGGUGUGGGAUGAGCUCGCGGCCUAUCAGCUUGUUGGUGGGGUAAUGGCCUACCAAGGCGUCGACGGGUAGCCGGCCUGAGAGGGUGUACGGCCACAUUGGGACUGAGAUACGGCCCAGACUCCUACGGGAGGCAGCAGUGGGGAAUAUUGCACAAUGGGCGCAAGCCUGAUGCAGCGACGCCGCGUGGGGGAUGACGGCCUUCGGGUUGUAAACUCCUUUCGCUAGGGACGAAGCGUUUUUGUGACGGUACCUGGAGAAGAAGCACCGGCUAACUACGUG
rnacentral:rRNA from 1 species